rnacentral:lncRNA from 1 species
CACCCUAGGGUGUUUAGUAGAUCUUUAUCUAGUCAACAUAGCACCGGUUCUUUGGAAUGGAAAUAUCAACUUCCUCUAAACUUACUUUGCUCAAUAAUGUAGUUAAAGAUAUUACAGAAAGGAUUGGUUAUAUAUCCUUGCUGCCUGAUUUAUUACACAAUUUCUUUGUAAACAGUAUUGCUAAUCUGUUUAUUUUGAAAUCUGUGAAACAAGGGUAGGUUAAAUCAAUAAACUACUAGCUACUUAAAGGGAUAGUUCACCCAAAAAUUCUGUCACUAAUUACUCACCCUCAUGUCGUUCCAAACCCGUAAGACCUUCGUUCAUCUUCUAAACAAAAACAGAAGUAGCGAAUUUAUUCAAGAAUUUGUCUCCUCCGUGUCACCCUAUAGCGCCAUUUUGGAGAGUAUCACAUACGUAAACAACAUAUGUACGCUGUUUACGUUCAGAUAAAAGCGUAAACAACGUAUCCGCAUACGGUGCUGUGGAUACGUUAUUUACAUGCGUGGUACUCUCCAAAAUGGCACUAUAGGGUAAGGAGACGAAUUGUUGAAUAAAGUCGUUAUUUUUGUUUUCUUUGCACACAAAAAGUAUUCUCGUAGCUUUGUAAAAUUACGGUUGAACCACUGAUGUCACAUGGAUUGUUUUAACGAUGUCCUUCCUACGUUUCUGAGCCUUGAUCGUGUUAGGAUCCUUGCUGUCUAUGGAGGGUCAGAGAGCUCUCGGAAUUCAUCAAAAAAUAUCUUAAUUUGUGUUCCGAAGAUGAACGAAGAUCUUACAGGUUUGGAACGACAUGAGGACGGCGAUCACUUGUUUAACAACUGUUCUGUCGAUCGAUUUCAAGCCAUCUGAGUUGGAGGUAGGCGUCAUCACAGCAGAGGAUCCGAAAUUCAGGAUUCUGUCAGAGUCAGAGGUGGACACUCAUUUGGUGUCUCUGACUGAGAGGGACUGAGAUCUCCAGGGUGCUGCUCACAGUAUUAAGAUACGUAGGAUCCCGUUCUGAGCUUUUGUUCUUAUGUAAAUUCCCCGUUCCAUUAAAUACAUUUUGAGAAAAAUAUUGUUAAGAUUCCUGCUCUCUU